rnacentral:rRNA from 1 species
GAUGAACGCUAGCGGCAGGCCUAACACAUGCAAGUCGAGGGGUAACAGGGAGCUUGCUCCGCUGACGACCGGCGCACGGGUGCGUAACGCGUAUACAAUCUACCUUUUGCUGCGAGAUAGCCCAGAGAAAUUUGGAUUAAUACCGCAUAGUAUAUAGACUUGGCAUCAAGUUUUUAUUAAAGGUUACGGCAGAAGAUGAGUAUGCGUUCUAUUAGCUAGAUGGUGUGGUAACGGCACACCAUGGCAACGAUAGAUAGGGGCCCUGAGAGGGGGAUCCCCCACACUGGUACUGAGACACGGACCAGACUCCUACGGGAGGCAGCAGUGAGGAAUAUUGGACAAUGGGCGAGAGCCUGAUCCAGCCAUGCCGCGUGCAGGAAGACUGCCCUAUGGGUUGUAAACUGCUUUUAUACAGGAAGAAACACCUCUACGUGUAGAGGCUUGACGGUACUGUAAGAAUAAGGAUCGGCUAACUCCGUGCCAGCAGCCGCGGUAAUACGGAGGAUCCAAGCGUUAUCCGGAAUCAUUGGGUUUAAAGGGUCCGUAGGUGGAUAAUUAAGUCAGAGGUGAAAUCCUGCAGCUCAACUGUAGAAUUGCCUUUGAUACUGGUUAUCUUGAAUCAUUAUGAAGUAGUUAGAAUAUGUAGUGUAGCGGUGAAAUGCAUAGAUAUUACAUAGAAUACCAAUUGCGAAGGCAGAUUACUAAUAAUGUAUGACACUGA